rnacentral:lncRNA from 1 species
AUAUAGCACAUUAGAAAUAUCUAUUUGUGCUGUCUGCGAUCACCCGGCGGCGUGCGCGUGAGCUCCCGGCCUGCGCGACAACAGACCCAGGAAGGACCCAAGGACCCCAGAGGGGGUUUUUUUCAGCUGCCUGCCUACCUGCCUGUCUGCGAUCACCCGGCGGCGUGCGCGUGAGCUCCCGGCCUGCGCGACAACAGACCCAGGAAGGAAGGUAGCCGCCCUUGAAACACCCACACGACCCCCCCCCCCCAGUUCUCAAAACUCCUGAUCGGGCC